AGUGCUUCUUUCUGUUUUUCAAUUCAAAAGGUGUUCUUAUGAGGAAUCUUAAAAAUGUGUUGAGGAUAAUUCCAGUGAUGCUCAUUUUAUUGAUGGAGGAUGCUCCUGCUGUUGGUCAAAGAAAUCUGUUUUUAUUUGUUUUGCUCUGAUGUAUGUAUUGCUCAUCAUAGAGCAAAUUAACCUUUCAUUUCAUUUGUUUUGUUUACUUGUCUAAAAUAAUUUUUAAGAAGGUCCUUUUGAAUAAUUGCAACGUUAGGUGAUAUGUAAGUGUAGAAGGUUCAUAUUUAUUUACUAUUGCAUUUGCAGGUAGUUUUCUGCAAAUAGUAUGAGUUGUCUUCUCCAUGUAGUUUUUUAUAGAGGUACGUGAAAUGCAGUGGAAGAAAAUCUCUUACUACAUGACAUGUCAGGUAAAGAUUCACUCUUUAACUGUGAGUGCUGAAAACAGCUAAAGAAGGGAAAUAUCUCACUGAUAGUUUUCAAUGGAUGCUCAACCUAACUUACCAACUUGUGGUGUGGUAUGUGUAAGUACAGUGAUCUUGAUGGUUCUGGGCCACUGGUGUGAGGAGAAAAAAGAAAAAAAAACAUAUAUAUGUGAUAUUUGCUUUAGUAGCCCUGAUUUGAAGGCAACUUGUCUGUGUUCAUAUCUGUGUGUUCCUCUUCCUGGCUUGCACGUUGGCAAUCCCUGCACACCUGAGGUGGCUGGCCGAUGGGGACACAGUGACGAGACCUAGUGACCUUUGUGGUUGUACGUCAGCCCUGCGCACGUGGGCUCUGGAGAUAUGGCUUCCUGGCACCCAGGCCCUGGGCUCUUCCCUAGAACUUCGGGGAAGUGCCUGGGAAUGUGGAUGGGAGGCCAUGCAGCAGGCUGCUCUGCCUACCCAGCUCCUGAGCCCCUGGGGAAGGACACUUGUAGAGAAGGGAUGUGUUUGGGAAUGGAAUCUCAUUUACUCCCACUGUCCUGACAGUCCACGUGUUCAUAACUGUGAAAAGCUGGCACGUACCAAGGAGUCCAUCACCAAGAGUGGGGAAAGGAGGAAGAGGAGGAGGAAGGGAGAGACAAAUGGAAGAAUGGAUGGAGAGAGGAGUGGACGGAGACCUGAAGAAUCCAGCCAGAGGCCUGGAGCCCACGGCAGUGUCUCCUACAAGUCCACAUCGAGGAUCUGCACCGGGAAGGCCAAAGGCCAGGGUGGAAGCCAGAAAGCCUGUGCCAUGGGGUGAAGGGUCUGCGCCACCAGGCUGAGGGAUCCGCACUGGAGCCAGGAAGCGACGCUCAUGGUGAAGACCAGAGCUCCCCUAAGGAGAACAGCAGCCCUCCCCAGGGACAGCGGAACAGCGGAACAGCAAGGCCCUGAGCUCCUCCUCCAAGAAGAACAGCCAAGUUCGCAUCAGGGAAACCACCCGUAGCAAGCUUCUCCGGGAAAAUCAACAGCCCUGGAUCUUCCCCUCUGGUUCUCUCUUUAUCCCGUUGGCAACAAUCCUCAGGUGGGUCCUCCAUGCCCAACCACGCUGACUCUGCUCAGCCGGGUGUCCUAAGCUGCCCGUUAGUUCGUCCAUCGCAGGACGUUUGGCCAGUGCAGAGUGAGCCCAUCUCAGACCCUUCACUGGGUUACAUUUGCAGAAAUCUUCAUUCCAGAGAUGUUCUCGUCCGUAGAAAGAGAAAUUCAGCAUUGUUUGACGGGUUUCUGGAGGUCAGGUUUUGGCCUGCUACUACACUCAAUAUAUAUAUCAAUUAGUUGUUUUACAUAUUAACAGGAUUACAUAUUUCCACAUCCAAUAGGCAAGAGGUUAAGAAGCAUGUGGUCAACAUCAAUAUUCUGCAGUUAUUAUCAGAAAGGCUGGACAGAAGCAGAGUUGGGUACCAAGUCGUUCCCAGUUACAGUGCCCACUGCGUGACUCAGUUUCUCUAAUUUACCCCUCAUGGCUACCAUCUCGCCUCCUUCGUAAGAAAUGAGAAAACAAGCCCAGAAUCCCCCAGCUGGUGAUGACAGGAAGUGACACUUCCACUGCACAGGAGCGUGAACUCACCUUUUUCAUAGUCAGUGUUUGGUACAAUGCCCAGACCCUACCAGCUACUCAGGAGGUACUUCUAGAAAGAAUAAGGACUCCAGGCCAGGCCAGUGGAAGCACAGACAGCUGUUUGUCUAGAUGUGUGGACUGGGGUCACCUGUUCUGAAAUCCACUUGCGAAGUGUUCCGGGUUGCAGCCCUCCGCCUGCUCACCCUGGACAACCCACUCCUCUCCACGUUCUGCUUAUUGAAAGCCACUGCAUAUUGAUGUAAAUUUUCUCUACUUUUGUGGAUGAAUUUUACAGUGCCUGAUAACCCCAAGCUGAAAAAAAGAAGAAAGGAGGUGAGCAGUGAGAUAGAGUCUGAGAGGAAGAAUGAGAGAAAAAAAGAAGGAAGCAGGAAACUUUUAACCUUGCUUGGUAUUUUAGGAGGAAUUCCAAAGGAGCUUGCUUUCACCAGAGGAAAUGCAUUCCGAAUCUGACUAACGUGGGUAUGGACCAAAUUUCUGUGAUAUUAGUCUGUGAAAACAGAAGUCUACUUCGAGAAAGAGAGAUGUUCAACUUGGCUCAAUUCAGAUCUUAUCUCUGUUGGUGCAACUUGCUCAUUCCCGUGAAACUUUGGCACACUUAGACGAGUCAAAAAUCUGCAUGAUUGAUCUGCUAACACAUCUGCACCAGUAAGCAACCUCAAACAUAAACGUGAAGGAUGUCAUGAGGAUGUGCUCUUAACUUCUUGGAAGAAAUGAGUUAGACAGAUGAGUGCAUAUAUGGAAAGCAUACAGGCAUUUGGCUCUGAUGUAAGGGAAUUGGUCAACCACUGCCUAGGGCAGUUUAAGCCAGUUCAAAAGUUCCUCCUCC
rnacentral:lncRNA from 1 species